CAAAAUUUACCAAUAUUUAUAUAUUAAGGAAUUAAUAAUUUAAUAAAAUAUAUAGGUAGUGCAUGGCUGUCGUCAGUUCGUGCUGUGAAGUAUUAAUUUAAGUAUUAUAACGAACGGUAACCUUUUAUAAAAAAAUUUUUUAUAAUAUAUUUAUCAAAUAUAUAAAAAAGACUACGUCAAGUCAUUAUGCUCCUUAUAUUUUGGGCUGCUCACGUGUUACAUAAAAUAUAACAAUAUUUUAUUAUAUGAAAAUAUAAUAUAUUUAAAUAUAUUUAUAGUUCUAAUUAUAAAUUGAAACUCAUUUAUAUGAGGAUGGAAUCACUAGUAAUCGCUAAUAAGAAAUAUAGCGGUGAAUAAGUUCUUAAGCUUUGUACACACCGCCCGUCACAUCUGGAAAAUAUUAUAUUAUAUAAAAAUUAUUGUAAAAUAAUAAUAUAUAAUUAUAUAAUUUAGAUGAAGUCGUAACAAGGUAGCCGUACUGGAAGGUGCGGCUGGAUAAUAACAUAA
rnacentral:ncRNA from 1 species